UACGAAGGGGGCUAGCGUUGCUCGGAAUCACUGGGCGUAAAGCGCACGUAGGCGGAUUCUUAAGUCAGAUGUGAAAGCCCCGGGCUUAACCUGGGAACUGCGUUUGAAACUGGGAGACUUGAGUGUGGCAGAGGGGGGUGGAAUUCCACGUGUAGCAGUGAAAUGCGUAGAUAUGUGGAGGAACACCGAUGGCGAAGGCAGCCCCCUGGGUUAACACUGACGCUCAUGCACGAAAGCGUGGGGAGCAAACAGG
rnacentral:rRNA from 1 species